CAGGGAUCGCCCCCCGUCAGCGAGGUUUCGCCCACGGGGGCGCUAC
rnacentral:sRNA from 1 species